rnacentral:rRNA from 1 species
GACGAACGCUGGCGGCGUGCUUAACACAUGCAAGUCGAACGAUGAAGCCGGAGCUUGCUCUGGUGAAUUAGUGGCGAACGGGUGAGUAACACGUGAGUAACCUGCCCUUGACUCUGGGAUAACUGCUAGAAAUGGUAGCUAAUACCGGAUACGACCCUCGGAGGCAUCUCCAGGGGGUGGAAAGAAUUUCGGUCAAGGAUGGACUCGCGGCCUAUCAGCGAGUUGGUGAGGUAAAGGCUCACCAAGGCGACGACGGGUAGCCGGCCUGAGAGGGUGACAGGCCACACUGGGACUGAGACACGGCCCAGACUCCUACGGGAGGCAGCAGUGGGGAAUAUUGCACAAUGGGCGCAAGCCUGAUGCAGCAACGCCGCGUGAGGGAUGACGGCCUUCGGGUUGUAAACCUCUUUUAGCAGGGAAGAAGCGAAAGUGACGGUACCUGCAGAAAAAGCACCGGCUAACUACGUGCCAGCAGCCGCAGUAA